UCAGGUUGAGGUCAAAUGCUAACAUUCAAUUAUGUUCUCUUUCACACAGGUUAUGGCUGGUGAAACUGGACAGGGAAGAAACACCUGUUUUCGGAAUCUUGUGGAAGGCUACUGAUAUUUCUUUUUCUUCUGCACCACAACAGUAUAGUGACCCCAGAUCCCCUUUUAACAGAAGGACUGACAAUAUUUACGUCAAAGGAAAAGAUUCACAAAGCUGAUGCUGGCUGGCUGUGACCAGCCCUGCUUUGUGCCUUUCUCAAGGAAAACUCUGACCAGGUUGAAAUGUCUAAAGGAGGUUCAGCUGCCGUUUGAAGGUAUGCCACAGUUUUGUUUAAUAGUUCAAAGAAAGAUGAACUGCAGCCUUUAAUAGCCUCAUAUUUAUCAGUGCGACUGCAGGACUUCUGCAUAAAACUCUACUCAGAUGUCACCAAAGACACACCUUUUUGUGAACCCUUGAGAAANAGAUUGGUCAUUUUAUCUUACAUCUUCAUUGAGGAUUCAGUCACUUCUACUGUGAGUUUUUCUUUCCUUUUCCCUUUCCCAGCAGGUAGGUAAUGCCACAAAAUUUAUUUCCCUAUUAAAGCAAAAAAACCCAAAACUAUCCUCUGCUAUGCCUGAAAGAGAAAGAGAAAGGGAUAGGGAAGGGGCCUCCUAGCUCUUUCCACAAGAGGAUGGAAGUAGAACCUGUGCAAAAGAGCUUUGCUCAGCAAUUUUUCCCUUGUUUUAAUUGGCCGGCCCUGAAAGUAUUCUAGAUGCUGUGCUUUCGCCAACAAAAAUGCACAUUCUUUGGGGUAAUGAUUCUGAUAACAAUAGCAGAACGUGGACUAAGUGAUUGGAGAUAAGGAACAUCACUGUUCCUUAUCUAGAACUGUUAAAACUGCUUGCUGGACUCUUGAGAGUGUUUCNCUGAGAAACACUUGCACUGUGGUGACUCGCCAAGCCAACGGGAGUCAGUGUGGCAUCUUCUGCAGAUCAUCAAAAGCUGGUCCUUCCUGGUUCCUUCUUCAGUAUCAGGCAAGCCACGAAAGAAGUCACGACAUUUAUUUCUUCCCACUUGAGCUGCAAAAUAUUUUCCUCAGGUGGGAUAUAGUUGGCAGGAUUUGGGGAAGUUGCUUGCUUAGAUGACAGCUCCCAUCACCCUUUGCCAAAGCAGCCAUCAGGUAACGAUCAUGGAGACUUUUCCAAACUCUAAUGUGUGGCUUGGUUGAUUUUGCAGUAGCAGAUGUACUUAACUUUAGAAUUAGAAUCAAGCCCAACCCAGAAGGCCAGAGGUUUGCUUUGAAAAUCUCAGGAUACCUUGGGAGGUGAAGAUUUCUGUCCGUUCUUCUCCCAGUGUUAUUCUCUGCCUCCUUCACAAAACCAAGCGGAGAAGUCUUUCUUUCUGCAUUGGGUCUUAUUCUGCUAUCUGCAUUCUGUCCAGGAACAGCCAUCCAAGUGCAGUAAGGCUUGUUCUGAGAUAAUGAGUUUAGAUAUUUUCAUUUACCAAUAAUUUUCUUUGAAAAAAAGAGUUUCCUGGAAGAAAGUAGAUCCUUUAGAGGUUCUAAGAAAGGUUCAUAACAGAUUUGGUUAUCUCAGCUUUUCCCUUUUAGAAGAAGUUUGUCUCAGAGUUGGGAUGAAUCAAUCAUUUUAUUUAGUAGAAAUAAUGCCAAUUUCAUUUUAAGACUACCCCAAUCGAUUCUGGUUCAUUGAACUCUUCUGACAUUUACUAGAGCUAGAAGGAGUUAGAAGGAACAACCACCCCAAAUUUGAUUAAGUACAGUUUUUGCUCACAGCAUCUCUAGAAGAUCAAUUCAUCAAUCAGUAUUGCCAUUUUGAAACCACACAAUCUAUGUGAGAUGUGGGGAGGGGGGGUCACUAUUUCCUUUACCACUAUGGCCCUCAUUCUUCAUAAGUCCUAUUACUGAAACAAAUCUCCGUAAUGACUUUGGUAAGGAAACAAUAAUAAAAAAAUCAUUNCUAAUAAAUUCUUUGAAUCA
ensembl:lncRNA